rnacentral:lncRNA from 1 species
UUUACACCUCCUUACCCCCAGUGUAAAGCCUGAGAAUCUUGGGGUUGGUGUCUGGAAUCUGGACAUCUGUGUCUUAAUGAAGUUCUCCAAGAGACCAUUAUGUCUAUGAAAGUUAGGGAACCACUAGUUAGUUCCACAGGAACUUCCAGCAUCAAAGCUCAGUAUCAGUCGUUCCAGAAAGGGUGUUCCUUAUUGAAGGGGAACCCAGAUGUUUGCUGAAUUUGCAGUUUCUAUCUAUCUUCAUGUUUUUACUUUUGUUUUUGUUUUUUUAAAGGAACUUCUGAUUAUUCUCAGAAGGCCUGAGAGUUCUCUUCCGGCCGAUUCAUUCUCCACAAGGCAGCCAUGUUUGCCUGUUUUACUGCCUACCCCACCUUUAGGAGGGGCCCUGUGGCCGUCCCCAGUCAAGGCAAUCCCAGUGUUCAAGGAAACCAGUAGAAGAGGGAGACUGUUCUUGGUUCUUUGAUGUGAUCUGGGUAUAUGCCUGUAGAUCGAGAUCGAGGGCUUUUCUGAAUUGUAAGUGCUCCAUUCUAUUUUACACACUUUGAA